rnacentral:rRNA from 1 species
AGCGAACGCUGGCGGCGUGCUUAACACAUGCAAGUCGAACGAGAACGGGUUAUAGCUUGCUAUAAUUGUCAGCUAAGUGGCGCACGGGUGAGUAAUGUAUAGGUAAUAUGCCUCUUACUAAGGGAUAACAAAUGGAAACGUUUGCUAAUACCUUAUACUCCUUAUUAACAGAAGUUAAUAAGGGAAAGAUUUAUUGGUAAGAGAUUAGCCUGUAUUGUAUCAGUUAGUUGGUGAGGUAAUGGCUUACCAAGACUAUGACACAUAACUGGUUUGAGAGGGUGAUCAGUCACACUGGAACUGAGACACGGUCCAGACUCCUACGGGAGGCAGCAGUGGGGAAUAUUGCACAAUGGACGAAAGUCUGAUGCAGCAACGCCGCGUGGAGGAUGACACAUUUCGGUGCGUAAACUCCUUUUAUAUGAGAAGAUAAUGACGGUAUUAUAUGAAUAAGCACCGGCUAACUCCGUGCCAGCAGCCGCGGUAA